rnacentral:lncRNA from 1 species
AUGCAAAUGUUCACUCGACUUAACACAGUUGAACACAGCACUGAAAUUUGCCACCUUGAGUACAAAAUUCAAUCUUCUGCAUCCAUACUUCAUGGUGUAUGGCAGGCAUGUAUGUCAAACCGUUUCCCAACCAGGCUACAGCUUUCAAUUCGCGUAUUGUGUGUAAUGCAAAUCCAAGAAUCUUUGGUGGUAUUGUUAAAAACGGCCUGCAUGGUUAAACCAAGAGCAAAUAUGACAAAGAGCAUCCCAACUGAGCAACUAUCCUUCUCUACACCGUGUAUUAGGUGCCUUUUGCAAUGUAAUUAAGACACCAUAUUUAUAAGACGCUAUCCCAGACACAUCAUGUACCAAUGAGAGAGAAAUUAAGGGGAUUUAACACUUAAGUCCAAUACAAUCUAGUUUCUGGAACUCAAAAGCCAGUGUAUUAAAGACCCUCUUUGUUAUGAACUCCUAUUGCCACCUAAAGGGAAGCAAAUAUGCACUCUUUCAAAAAUAAAAAUGUUUUAUUAAAUACCAAAUGCAUGCCGUUAACCAAAAAGUCCCUGUAAAUGGGAAAAAUAAUAAUUUAUUAUAAAAUAAUAAUCUCCCUUGUGCAGUGCGAGAUUUAAAGACAUGGUGCUGUGGUCUGAAAAUAUGCAACUGAAGAAUGAGAAAGCAGGUCACCAGACAAUUUUGAAUAUUUAUGCUUUUUAAAUCAAAGAAAGAAAUGAAGCUGCAGGAAAUUAAUGAUAGUAGCUUGUAUGAGUGUGAGGGAAAUAAAACGUGAGGUAAAUAGAAACCAAGGUCUCAAAUCACUUUAUGAUCUGCCACUGAGAUUUAGAUGCAUUAACCAAAUGAUGGAAGAGAAAAUUCAUGUACCAUUUCUGCCUCCCACUAGAGGCCAAAAAACAGCAGAUCAACGCCACCGCUGAUCAGAAAAACACUCCUAGCCAAUAACUUUCCGUGAGUUGGGACACGUGAUCUAGGAGUGUCUCCAGCUCCAUCUCCUGCUAGACCAGACAAACCAGGUUUGUAAAGUGGUUAGUCCUGCUGCAUAUGUGUGUACAAGUGCAUUUAAUCAGUACCUCUCAGGAUCUCCUCAAACUAAAAUUAGUAUUAAAUCUGUACGAACACAAGCACAAUCACACACAUGAAAUGAACUCGCGCUCGAAAUCCUUGUAUUUUCCGGGUCACCCAGCAAUAUCUGCAGUCUCUCGUCCACCUUUUGCUCUCUCUCUCUCUCUCUAUCUGUUGUAAUGUCAGUCUAUAUUCUGCCUGUCCCCCACAGUUGUGCGUCCCUCCCCCCACCCCUUCACAGCCUGAUGUCUGUCGUUUCUUCUCUCUCUCCCUCUCGUUCACUUGUUCCCCUCUCAGGCUACUGUUAUCAGUGGCGUACGGGUUGGGGGUGCGUGGCCCGGACCGAACCGGAUUCUUGGGAGAGGUGGAGGUGCUCUUUUUUUCGCUUUCUCCCCCCUCCCCAUCAUCCUCUUCAGCUGCUAAAA